GAUGAACGCUAGCGGCAGGCCUAAUACAUGCAAGCCGAACGGCAAGUUGAGUAGCAAUACUUGACCUAGAGUGGCGUAAGGGUGCGUAACACGUAUGCAAUCUACCCGCAACAGGAGGAUAGCUCUCCGAAAGGGGAAUUAAGCCUCCAUGGGAUCAUGGGGUGGCAUCACUCCAUGAUUAAACUACCAGGGGUUGUGGAUGAGCAUGCGCAUGAUUAGUUAGUUGGCGGGUAACGGCCCACCAAGACGAUGAUCAGUUAGGGGAACUGAGAGG
rnacentral:rRNA from 1 species